AAUGAACGCUGGCGGCAUGCCUUACACAUGCAAGUCGAACGGCAGCAUGACCUAGCUUGCUAGGUUGAUGGCGAGUGGCGAACGGGUGAGUAAUGCAUCGGAACGUGCCUUUUAGUGGGGGAUAACGUAGCGAAAGUUACGCUAAUACCGCAUAUUCUCUGAGGAGGAAAGCAGGGGACCUUCGGGCCUUGCGCUAGAAGAGCGGCCGAUGUCGGAUUAGCUAGUUGGUGAGGUAAAGGCUCACCAAGGCAACGAUCCGUAGCGGGUCUGAGAGGAUGAUCCGCCACACUGGGACUGAGACAAGGCCCAGACUCCUACGGGAGGCAGCAGUGGGGAAUUUUGGACAAUGGGCGCAAGCCUGAUCCAGCCAUGCCGCGUGAGUGAGGAAGGCCUUCGGGUUGUAAAGCUCUUUCGGCUGGGAAGAAAUCGCACCCUCUAAUACAGGGUGUGGAUGACGGUACCAGCAUAAGAAGCACCGGCUAACUACGUG
rnacentral:rRNA from 1 species